UCUGUGCGUACUUGUGCUUUGAAAGAGUAAACAGCUUUGAUACAAGGUAUACCCUUGAAGUGAUGUCAAAAUGACCUUAGUAGCACUAUGUCACAUCAAACUGAUGCUGAUUAAGUGCAAACAUUUGCAUGGUGAUUAUGUGGCACCAAAAAGGAGGAACAAAUCGAAGAACUUUCCCCCCCAAAAAAUAUUAGUACACCUGUCCUAAUCCAGCUGAAGUUACUUGUGCUAGCUAAGUUCGAUCAAACAAGUUAAUUUGUCCCAUUGCCUCAGUGGGAUCCAUGGGGCAGUUCUGUACAUGCAUCAUCAAAGGUAUCAUUGUUUUCUGAUGAGCUUACUCCCUAAUUAGUGUGCUGAAAUCAGAACCAACUAACUCUAGUUUUGUCUAUGUCCUCCCCCUCACUACAGAGUUCUACAAGGAGGAGGAGGAAGCUGGCAGACCAAGCCACCUGCAAAACUGUAAUUAGGGAAGCAGACAGGGGGAGUUAACUGAGGGUGGACUGGUGUGGAUCAGUUCCAAAUGCCUCUGAGAAUCCCUUAAGCAGGUGAUGAAGGCUGCAGCUCCCCACCCCACUGACUGCCUGCCAUACUCUAGAAUUCAGUGGCAUGCCAGCUCUGACCAUGGGCAUUCUGUUUGACUAAUAAGACUAAUAGCCAUUCAUCUCUCUCUUUCUCUCUCUCCUCCAUUAAAUGGAGUAAUUCCUAUUUAAAGCCCAGCUAGUAACCAUCACCACAUCUUCUGACAGAAUAUGCCCACACAAAUGAUGGAUAUAUUAAUGCAUAUGCUCUCUGUCUGGCUCCAGGUUUCUUUGGGCCUUUGGGCAACCAAAUAUCACUGGGGCACCUUUAUCACCACCUCUUCUAUUUAAGAAAAAAACCCACUGUGAUUUUGCUCUCUCCUUCCCCUCCCCCGGCUUGUUUUUUUUUGGUUUUGUGGGGUCCUAACAGAGACAGAUUUAAGGCAGUAUAACCAGUUUCCCCACACAGGUUGCCAAGCUGAGGGGAUGCCUUCUUGCCUCCUUCACAGCCCAAAUCAUUAGUGGGCAAGAGAUGUUGGAAGUACAACAACUGAGAUCAUUCAGUUUGUAACUUAAGGGUUGGUUCUGUUAGUGUUAAAGUCAAUUAGCCUAGAAGGAGACAGGUGGAGGUGUUGCUUAGCAACCAAGCAGAGUGGGAUGAUCCUCACUGAGGUAGCACAUGCUCUUAUUAGCUGUAUAGUUCUGAGGGAGUUUCAUGUCUUCCUGCUUUGUACAAGGCCUGAAUUAAGAAAGACAAAAUCUCUGUGUUUGUUUUCCCUCAAAUUAUACACUGCUUUGUUCAGUUUACUCAGUAGUAUCAAGUGCUAUCAAGCCUUUUCUCCCCAGACUCCAUUUAUUUCAGUGACUUUGCUAACAAGAAGUGCCCUGCUGGCCAAACACUCUGUUCUCACAGUAGCCAAGCAGAUGCCCAUGGAAAGCCUACAAGCAGGGCAUGAGUGCAAGAACACUUUCUGCACAGUGGAAGUGGACCCAACAGUUGUGGGUGGUAGCCACUGAUAGGCUUGUCCUCCAUUCAUAUCUGUCAAUGGUCAGAUCAUGGAACAACCUUCCUUUAAAUCCAAACACCAAGCUUCUAAUGUCCUUCUGCAUCCAGCACAAAAUAGCAUUGUCUUUGUAUUGUCUCACAAUUUAAAUCAUAAGCUCAUUGUGCAAGGGGCUUUAAAGAAAAGAAAAGAAAAGAAAGAAGAUUUUGCCUAUAUUGCCCUGUGAAGCACCAUAUACAUUGAUGGCUCCUAUAUAAAUAAAAUAAACAAUAGUGAUUAUUGUUAAAGCUCUGGAAGUCCUCCAUAACUUAUCUGAUGCAAAAGACCUACCAAAGAGUUAUAACAUGAGUUUGGGAGAAAAUGAGGUUAAUUCUCAUAUAUUCCUUUUAAGGACAAAAUAAAAAUUGAUCUCCCAUGCCUUAUAAAACAGCAUCUAAGAUAUCUUACCAUAUAAAGGAUUUCACAUUAGAAAAGACAUCACUGAGAAGGAACAACAAAUGGGUUUUAUGGCACCUUAAAGACUUACAACUUUAAUAGAUUAAACAAUGAUUAAGAAUACUCAACAGCUUAUGCAAUUAGUUAAAUUGAAAGUAACUAGUCCCUUACAUUUUAAAAAAUUGGUUCCUUUGAUACUUGCAGAAGAAUUGCUCAUUGUCAUUUAUCAGAGGAUGUUUGUUCAAGCAUGUCAUAUAAUCCCGUCAAACAAAACUAACAAACUUUGUUUCUUUUCUUACAGCCAGUUCAUACGUUAUUUGGAGCCAGCUGAUGCAUGGAAAAAGACUUCUCACACAAGUGGUGUCUUACGCAAGUUGUGUGUAAUGUCAGAGCAGGUACUCACAGAAGAUCGCAAUGGCUACUUGAGCAAUAACAACACAGGGCUUAUUUCCAAGGCCCUCAUUGGCAUUGCUAAGUAACUAGAACAAGAUGAGAAAAUAAAACUUUAGUCAGAUUUAAAAAAAAAAAAAAAAGGCUUGAAGAAUAUUAAUCUAUUGGCACUGGAAACAUUUGGAGGGUCUCUACAGAAGCAUAGUUAUAAAUUGUUAUGGUUUCUGGUGGCCUCAAAUAUAUUGACCAUUAAAAUGUCA